UAACUGAUAAUCCUGGAAAGUGAAGCAUCGGAGCUCGGGGUCAUAGAACUGUAGAAGAGUUUGCAACGACACUGGAUCUACCACCAUCUUCGACAAUGUCAACAAGUCCCCAUACUGAUCAGCAAACACUUUCUGAUUACCUUCGGUCACCAGGUUGCUCAACUCUAUCAAAGAUGUUAAUGGCUCACGGUGAAAACCGUAGGAGCAAGUCUUCCGCUUCAACUCGGGAACGGAUGCCAUCUCUCACAGUGAAUAGACUCCUGAAUGAACCUGAGAAAUG
rnacentral:lncRNA from 1 species